GUUGUCAUAGUUUCCUGCCUUAAUUCCUGGAAGAUGUGAGGAAUGGUAUUUAUCCUCAGACCGCAUUCAGACUGUCUCAUGAUCAGCACCCUCAACAGGAGAUUGAAAAAUCUCCCCUUGUUGUUCCUUUGGUCAAAUCCCCAACCCCUGAUCCUGCAGAGCUUGAGACACGGCGGGUCAUUCACUUAUACAUUGAAGUGUUGAACCUGUUGAGGAUGGAGCAAAGUAU